GCGAGCUGCGGGGCGGCGGGUGCGGGGCCGCCGGCCGCGGGCUGCUUCCCGGCCGGGCCCCGCCGCCGUCUCCCGCCCUGCGCGCGCCGGCUCGCAGCUGUCGGACCCCGGGGCGAGCCGCGUCCGAGCCGAGGUGCGUCUCUCUUUCAGGGAAACCCCUCGGCGCCGGCUCCUCCGCCGCUCGGGCAGCGGGGCCGGCGCUGGGGCGCCGACGGCCGGCGGGCAGCGGCCUGGCCUCCGAGGUGGCGCUGCCUCCGCGUCCCCGGACCCCCGGGCAGGAGCGCACCCCGGUGCCCCUCGGCGCGGCGCGGCGCGGCGUCCGCGGGCCCCUAGGUCUUCGCGGGUCACCCGGCAGUGCAGACGCGGGAGGCGGCCGAGCUCUGCGGGCUUCUGCAGUUGGGAAAACUUUGAGCCGGGGCAGCCGGGAAGCCGCGGCGACAGGUUGCUGCAGAGGCACAUGCUGUGGUUCCUCCUCUAUCCUGCGUGAUGGACAGAGCCUUCUAUCCCUGCGUGGUGGAAUUUCAGCAGAAAAAUGUGCCCUCCCCUCGUCCUGGGUUCCAGAGCCCUUCCUGAUUGACUUCAUGCCUGUGAAAGCUGCCAAGACACAUCCUCCAUGUCACUCACGCCACGUGGCCCCCUCCACCAUCUAGUGGAAACCCACAUGGCCUGUGGUUCCAGCUCCCGGGAGUAAGCGGAGUGCCUUCCAGGCUAACCAUAGGGCGGUCAUUGACUGAGGGUGCUAGGUAGGUGAACUUCAUCUCUUGUGCGGACAAUAUUUACAUUUUAAUAUGGGACCAUCAGUGCAUUGACCCAAAGCUCCUGGAAGAGAGGAAACCCACAUUCUGAAUGGGGCUUGGAGUAUGUAUGGAGUGGAGGCUCCUCUUCCCAAACAUUCUUUGAAGGAAGGAAGCUUUAACACCCCUUUGGCCAAAGAUGGGUCCUCCUUGGAGGCAGCCAAGGACAGAACCAAACUGAAGUCUUCAGAACCCUGCCCAUCUGUCUCGAGCUGCUCAGCUGUAGUCACAGAACACCACGGACCGGGUGGUUUCAACAAGGCAGAUUUAUGUUCUCUCAGUUCUGGAGGCGGAGAGUCCAAGGUCGAGGUGUCAGCAGGGCUGGGUUCUCCAGAGGCCUCUCUCUGAGGUAUGCAGAUGGCCGCCUUCUGCCUGUGUCCUCCCGAGGCCUUUCCUCUGCCCACACUCCCGCUGUCUCUCCUGGUCCAAACUUCCUCCUUACAGGGAUGCCAGGCAGAUUAGAUUUGAGGCCGCCCUACUGGCUUCGUUUUAACUUAAUCACGUCUUUAAAGGCCCAGUGUCCAAAUACACUCAUAUUUUAAUGUAUUGAGGGUAAGGUCUUCAACAUAUGCAUUUGGGGGUGGGGGGGACACAGUGCAACCCACGGCACAAUCCAUGGCUCCCGGCCCUUUUCCCCACCCGAGCAGCACAAGGAUUCAUCAGCUGAAGCUACAUUCGUUUCUGACCCUGUAACCUAUCCUUCAGCUUUGGUUCAAAAGUCAAGAAGCUCUGAGACUUUCCCCUCUUCGGGGUUAAAGAAAAUGAAGAUACCUUUGUUAAAAUCAAAACACAAAUAUGAAGCAUAUCAUGGGGCACCAUGUUCCCUCCAGUAAUACUUUUUAGCUGGUUGUUACCGAGGGUUAGAUCUGGUCACCCUGAUAUAGUUCUUUCAACUAUUCACAUUUGCAUGGUUCAUAAUCGAGAGAGAGCCUCAGAUUUGAAGGAAACACUUUUGAGGACACAAAUUGUAUCCUGAGCCCCCUUGUCUCCUAGGCCGUCAGCAAGCCCUGGGAGGAUGGCCUCGUCCCUGGAGGGGCCCCUGUUCUUUGCAGUAAAGGCACCAGCAUCCUCUCGACAGCAUUUUGGGCAGGAAGAUUUCAAAGGUUUCAGUGAAGACCUAUUCGCAGGCUUCAGAGAAGAGGAGAUGUGUGACAGUGGGCCUGUGAUGCCGGUUCACCUGGGUCCCAUGGGGGGGGCGGCUGGGGCGUAUGUGUGUGAGGAUGUCACCAAGGAAGGACUGCCAGGAGGAUGGAAACUCUGAGUCUGACCCCAUGUUUCCUCAGCAGCUGGGCCUCGCUGCCAGCGAAUGCAUUAUCGCUACAGCAGAGGUGGUGUGAGAGCAUCACUGAUCAUUUUACAAGCUGAGGACUGCGUGACAUUAUCUCUGGGGUUGAGUUAAGUGGUUUGUCUAAGGUCACUUAGCAAGUGUGUAAUAAAUCCAGAAUUAGAACCUUGGCACCCGGCUCAACAGUCUGCAUGCUGGGCCCCAGGCUGACGGACCUGUGGACAUGAUGGGGCUCCCUCCCUCCUCCCCUCCCAAGUCCUAUGAGAGCCACUGCUGCCCUGCUCCCUGGGCCGCCUGAGGGUGCUCCAGGGGCUAGGGGUCAAGACCAGCAUCAGCUGGGGGAGCUCCUGAAGCCCCUCCUUCCUCCCUUCUCCUUCCCCUCCCUCCUCCAUCCCCCUCCCUCCCCUCCUCUCUCCCCCUCCCUCCUCUCUCCCCCUCCCUCCUCUCCUCCCUCCUCUCCCCUUCCCCUCCCAAGUCCUGUGGGAGCCACUGCUGCCCUCCUCCCUGGGGCUGCCUGAGGGUGCUCCAGGGGCCAGGGCCAGGAUCACCAUCAGCUGGGGGAGCUCCUAAAGCCCCUCCCUCCUUCUCCCCUGUCCUUCCCUCUCCUCCUUCCCCCCUCCCUCCCACUCCCCCUCCCUCCCUCUUUCCAUCCCUUCCUUCCCUCUUUUUAAAGAACUCAUUCCCUUAACAAACAGUUGUGGAGGACCACUUUAAAAACUGAACAGUUCUUUGCAUGGUGAGUGAAGCAAAGACAAAUCACAGUUGUCUAAAUAUCUAAAGUAAGUGUCUAAGGUAAAUUAGGUGAAACAUAUCCGAACACCUAAUUAUUACCCGAGGCAGAAGGGCGUGCAACGAGGGACAUGCCAGCUUCGAGACCCCUUGUACCUCCACGGUGUGAUGCUGGGCCCUGCAGAGCUGCUGACUCUCCGUUAGACCCUGCAAAGGACGGUGCAGGGGUGGCAGUGGCUGUGAGGCACCAGGGGGCAGCGACCUGCCAUCCCUCCCAUCCCUCGCUGUGACCCCGGCUGGUCCAGGGGCCCGCUGCACCUGGGCAGCAGCACUGUGUACGGGUGGGGGCUCACAGGCACUCCCAGAGCCAGGCCACCCUGCUCCUGCACAGCCAGAGCCCACAGCAGCCCCUCUGCUUCCCCCUGCUCCAUCCUGCCUCCACCCCCUGUCUGACCGGAGUCUGCCUCCGCCUCCGAGCAGCCUUCCUGCUCCCUUAGCGCCUCUCAGCAGCUGGCUGGCCACCCCCUGCACUGUCCUCACCUGCGACGGCUACUCUAGCGAAGCCCCGGACCAGCUGGCUUAACGGACACUUAUUGUCACCCAUUCUGGGGCUAAAAGCCCAAGAAGGAGGGGUCCCUGGCUUUCCUGUGGAGGUGGAGGAAGAAGCUGCCUCUCUCCUACCUUCCAGAACUUUCUGGCAAUCUCUGCCUAUCCCUUGGCUUGGGACUGAUGACUCUAGACUCUGCUUCCUCCUCACCCGACCUUCUCCCUGGGAGCGUAUCCGUGUCCACAUUUCCCUUUCUCCACACAGGGCACAGUUAUAUUGGCUCGAGGGCUGGCUACUCCAGUGUGAUUCACCUUCAUCAUUUUAUCUGCAACAGAGCUGUUUCCACCUCGGGUCACAUCCUGGGGCACCUGGGUUAGGACCGCAGUGUGUGAAUCUUGGGGCUGACACAUUUCAACCUGUAAUGAUGCUUAAUUAGAUGCUUUAUCUUGACGUUUCUGUUCAGAAAGCCGUGUAGUUCCUGCCCACGUACUGGGCCUGGACUGAUGCGUGGGGACUGGACUUUAGGGACCAACUGAGGAAAGGGGCCAGGGGCCUGUCAUUUGAACCAGGCUGUGAAGGGUGCCUUG
rnacentral:lncRNA from 1 species